CCUAACUCAUCUAAGUUUAUAUUCGGGUAACUGAGUAAAUUCAGUGCUGUUUUUUUUAUUCCAUCAUAAGAUAUCUUAAUGCCAUAAGAUGCAAGUUUCUCGGGAGUAAUGAUUAAAUUCCCUAACUUUUCUUCAAGUUGUUCAAUAGAAUUAAGUUUAUCCUUCAGGAGAGAAUAUCUUUCAUAUGAAACAAGAGAAAUAUCGUAACCUUUUUGUGUUAAUCUUCUAUCAGCAUUGUCUGAUCUAAUCGACAGUCUAUAUUCUGCACGCGAUGUGAAUAACCUGUAAGGUUCUGUCACUCCUUUAGUGACUAAAUCGUCUAUCAUUACCCCAAUAUAUGAGUCAGUGCGAUGAAGAAUAAAACUAUCCUGUUUGCCAGACGCAGACAAUGCUGCAUUAAUCCCUGCGAUAAUUCCUUG